AAUAGCUACUUGCAUCAUUGUAAAUAUGAUGCAAGAUCGACUAUGUCGAAUAAAAUUCUAGGUAGAAUUAUGAUAAUGACAUUGUCUGCCUAUGUGUCUUGACCAAAUUACGUGCCAGCUGUCGCGGUAAUACGUAGAAGACUAGUGUUAUUCAUGUUUAAUCGGUUUAAAGGGUACCUAGACGGUAAAUCAAGCCUAAAAAGAAGGAAAUAAAGGGACUAAUUUACUAGAGUUACUUAUGAGGGGGUAUUAAAGUACUGCUGGUGUAGAGAUGAAAUUCUGUCAUACCUCUUUUCAAUAGAAAAAUAAUGGCACAGGUAUAGGCGAAGGCAUCCCCUUAUGUGAUAACUGACGUUGAGGGACGAAGGCUUUGUGUAGCGAACAGGAUUAGAUACCCCAGUAGUCAAAGCAGAAAAUGAUGAAUGUCAUAGAUUAGAUAUAUAAGUUUAUUCUAUAAAUGAAAGUGUAAGCAUUCCACCUCAAGAGUAAUUUGGCAACAUUGGAACUGAAAUCAUUAGACCGUUUCUGAAACCAGUAGUGAAGUAUGUUGUUUAAUUUGAUAAUCCGCAAAAAACCUUACCACAAUUUGAAUAUUUAUAUUUUUUUUUAUUGUUUUUCUUUUUAAUUAUCUUCCGAUUUUCUAGUUAAAGGAAAACUAGAAGAAAAAGAAAAAAAAGGCAAUAAG
rnacentral:rRNA from 1 species